AUUGAACGCUGGCGGCAGGCCUAACACAUGCAAGUCGAGCGGAGCGGCGGACGGGGGAGUAAUGCCUAUGAAUCUGCCUGGUCGUGGGGGAUAACGUCCGCAAACGGGCACUAAUACUGCAACCUUUCAGAUGAGCAUAGGUCGGAUUAGCUAGUGGGUGGGGUAAAGGCCUACCAAGGCGACGAUCCCUAACUGGUCUGAGAGGAUGAUCAGUCACACUGGUACUGAGACACGGUCCAGACGCCUACGGGAGGCAGCAGUGGGGAAUAUGGGACAAUGGGCGAAAGCCUGAUCCAGCCAUGCCGCGUGUGUGAAGAAGGUCUUCGGAUUGUAAAGCACUUUAAGUUGGGAGGCGUUACCAGCAGAAUAAGCACCGGCUAACUCCGUGCCAGCAGCCGCGGUAAUAC
rnacentral:rRNA from 1 species